AUUGAACGCUGGCGGCAUGCCUUACACAUGCAAGUCGAACGGUAACAGGUUAAGCUGACGAGUGGCGAACGGGUGAGUAAUGUAUCGGAACGUGCCCAGUCGUGGGGGAUAACUGCUCGAAAGAGCAGCUAAUACCGCAUACGACCUGAGGGUGAAAGCGGGGGAUCGCAAGACCUCGCGCGAUUGGAGCGGCCGAUAUCAGAUUAGGUAGUUGGUGAGGUAAAGGCUCACCAAGCCGACGAUCUGUAGCUGGUCUGAGAGGACGACCAGCCACACUGGGACUGAGACACGGCCCAGACUCCUACGGGAGGCAGCAGUGGGGAAUUUUGGACAAUGGGCGCAAGCCUGAUCCAGCCAUGCCGCGUGCGGGAAGAAGGCCUUCGGGUUGUAAACCGCUUUUGUCAGGGAAGAAAAGGUUCUGGCUAAUACCCGGGACUCAUGACGGUACCUGAAGAAUAAGCACCGGCUAACUACGUG
rnacentral:rRNA from 1 species